rnacentral:rRNA from 1 species
UACGUAGGGGGCAAGCGUUGUCCGGAAUUAUUGGGCGUAAAGAGCGCGUAGGCGGUCCGAUAAGUCGGCUGUGAAAGUCAGGGGCUCAACCCUUGGAAGCCGGCCGAUACUGUCGGACUAGAGUCCGGAAGAGGCGAGUGGAAUUCCCGGUGUAGCGGUGAAAUGCGCAGAUAUCAGGAAGAACACCCGUGGCUAAGGCGGCUCUCUAGUACGGUACUGACGCUGAGACGCGAAAGCGUGGGGAGCGAACAGG